rnacentral:rRNA from 1 species
AGUGAACGCUGGCGGUAGGCCUAACACAUGCAAGUCGAACGGCAGCACAGUAAGAGCUUCCUCUUACGGGUGGCGAGUGGCGGACGGGUGAGGAAUACAUCGGAAUCUACUUUUUCGUGGGGGAUAACGUAGGGAAACUUACGCUAAUACCGCAUACGACCUACGGGUGAAAGCAGGGGAUCUUCGGACCUUGCGCGAUUGAAUGAGCCGAUGUCGGAUUAGCUAGUUGGCGGGGUAAAGGCCCACCAAGGCGACGAUCCGUAGCUGGUCUGAGAGGAUGAUCAGCCACACUGGAACUGAGACACGGUCCAGACUCCUACGGGAGGCAGCAGUGGGGAAUAUUGGACAAUGGGCGCAAGCCUGAUCCAACCAUACCGCGUGGGUGAAGAAGGCCUUCGGGUUGUAAAGCCCUUUUGUUGGGAAAGAAAAGCAGCAGGUUAAUACCCCGCUGUUCUGACGGUACCCAAAGAAUAAGCACCGGCUAACUUCGUG